UACGUAGGGAGCAAGCGUUGUCCGGAAUCAUUGGGCGUAAAGCGCGCGUAGGCGGCCCCGUAAGUCCGCUGUGAAAGUCAAAGGCUCAACCUUUGAAAGCCGGUGGAUACUGUGGGGCUAGAGUCCGGAAGAGGCGAGUGGAAUUCCUGGUGUAGCGGUGAAAUGCGUAGAUAUCAGGAGGAACACCUGCGGUGUAGACGGCUUACUGGACCAUAACUGACGCUGAGGCACGAAAGCGUGGGUAGCAAACAGG
rnacentral:rRNA from 1 species